UUGCGCUAGGUGGGAAGCUAGCGGUGUCCUGUUACCCGAAAUCCGCUCAAUGCGGGACUGAAUUCCCUUUUGAGGGCUCGCAUCUCCAUGUUCCAAGAGCUGUCCCAGGUCGGGCACCACGCAACAGGCGGUUAUGAAUCCCGUCAGGUCCGGGAGGAAGCAGCGGUAAGUAAUCCAGCCUGUGUCGUGGCUUGGCUUCGACCAAAUUAUGACAGCUUAAGGCGCGUUGGAAAGGGCUCGAUGAAGGGUGCGCAA
rnacentral:SRP_RNA from 1 species